rnacentral:rRNA from 1 species
GAUGAACGCUGGCGGCGUGCCUAAUACAUGCAAGUCGAGCGAACGGACGAGAAGCUUGCUUCUCUGAUGUUAGCGGCGGACGGGUGAGUAACACGUGGAUAACCUACCUAUAAGACUGGGAUAACUUCGGGAAACCGGAGCUAAUACCGGAUAAUAUUUUGAACCGCAUGGUUCAAAAGUGAAAGACGGUCUUGCUGUCACUUAUAGAUGGAUCCGCGCUGCAUUAGCUAGUUGGUAAGGUAACGGCUUACCAAGGCAACGAUGCAUAGCCGACCUGAGAGGGUGAUCGGCCACACUGGAACUGAGACACGGUCCAGACUCCUACGGGAGGCAGCAGUAGGGAAUCUUCCGCAAUGGGCGAAAGCCUGACGGAGCAACGCCGCGUGAGUGAUGAAGGUCUUCGGAUCGUAAAGCUCUGUUAUUAGGGAAGAACAUAUGUGUAAGUAACUGUGCACAUCUUGACGGUACCUAAUCAGAAAGCCACGGCUAACUACGUGCCAGCAGCCGCGGUAAUACGUAGGUGGCAAGCGUUAUCCGGAAUUAUUGGGCGUAAAGCGCGCGUAGGCGGUUUUUUAAGUCUGAUGUGAAAGCCCACGGCUCAACCGUGGAGGGUCAUUGGAAACUGGAAAACUUGAGUGCAGAAGAGGAAAGUGGAAUUCCAUGUGUAGCGGUGAAAUGCGCAGAGAUAUGGAGGAACACCAGUGGGCGAAGGCGACUUUCUGGUCUGUAACUGACGCUGAUGUGCGAAAGCGUGGGGAUCAAACAGGAUUAGAUACCCUGGUAGUCCACGCCGUAAACGAUGAGUGCUAAGUGUUAGGGGGUUUCCGCCCCUUAGUGCUGCAGCUAACGCAUUAAGCACUCCGCCUGGGGAGUACGACCGCAAGGUUGAAACUCAAAGGAAUUGACGGGGACCCGCACAAGCGGUGGAGCAUGUGGUUUAAUUCGAAGCAACGCGAAGAACCUUACCAAAUCUUGACAUCCUUUGACAACUCUAGAGAUAGAGCCUUCCCCUUCGGGGGGCAAAGUGACAGGUGGUGCAUGGUUGUCGUCAGCUCGUGUCGUGAGAUGUUGGGUUAAGUCCCGCAACGAGCGCAACCCUUAAGCUUAGUUGCCAUCAUUAAGUUGGGCACUCUAAGUUGACUGCCGGUGACAAACCGGAGGAAGGUGGGGAUGACGUCAAAUCAUCAUGCCCCUUAUGAUUUGGGCUACACACGUGCUACAAUGGACAAUACAAAGGGCAGCGAAACCGCGAGGUCAAGCAAAUCCCAUAAAGUUGUUCUCAGUUCGGAUUGUAGUCUGCAACUCGACUACAUGAAGCUGGAAUCGCUAGUAAUCGUAGAUCAGCAUGCUACGGUGAAUACGUUCCCGGGUCU